rnacentral:tRNA from 1 species
GCCGGGGUGGCGGAAUUGGAAGACGCAGCGGACUUAAAAUCCGCUGGACUUUUAAAAGUCCGUGCCGGUUCGACUCCGGCCCCCGGCA